GCCGCCCGCGCGAAAGUGGCUGUCACAUGACCGCGCUGGAGACGGUCUGGGGGUACUGCUGGGCUCGGUACGUGCUCGUAUACGGGCAACAUGGCGGCUGCAGCAGCAGCAGCAGCUAGGGUAGCUCUUAGGCUCUUUCACCAUCGAGGGGGCUUAGCGGCCGUCGCCUGCUCCUCCGCCUCCCUUCUAGGGCGCAUGAGCCCGAGCGGUCUGGCCCGCGAACGCCGUUCUGGCCUGCCCGCCGCCGUGAGAGAAUACAGUUCCGAAGCCAAAGGGCUGGAGGAGGAACUGCGGGUUCGGUACUUGGACGACGAGCAUAAAGGAAUUGUUGUACUUGGAAUAAACAGAGGACACGCAAAAAAUGCACUUAGUAAAAAUCUUAUAAAAAUGAUAUCAAAAGUUAUGGACGCUUUGAAAACAGACAAAAAAGUACGGACAGUUAUAUUCCGAAGUGAAGUUCCUGGGGUAUUUUGUGCUGGUGCUGACCUUAAAGAAAGAGCUAAAAUGCAUGCUAGUGAAGUAAGCUCUUUUGUCUCAAAGGCAAGAACCACUAUUAAUGAAAUGGCUAAUCUUCCAGUACCAACUAUAGCUGCAAUAGAUGGCAUUGCAUUAGGUGGUGGCCUAGAAUUGGCUUUAGCCUGUGAUAUAAGAGUAGCAGCUACUUCUGCAAAAAUGGGUCUAGUUGAAACAAAAUUAGCAAUCAUUCCUGGUGCAGGUGGGACGCAAAGACUACCUCGUACAAUUGGUGUGUCUCUGGCAAAAGAAUUAAUAUUUUCUGCUCGUGUAGUUGACGGUGAAGAAGCUAAAUCAAUAGGCUUGAUCGGUCAUGUGGUUGAACAGAAUGAAGCAGGGGAUGCUGCCUAUAGAAGAGCUUUAGCCCUGGCAAGAGAAUUUUUACCUCAGGGACCGGUUGCAAUGAGAGUUGCAAAAUUGGCUAUUAAUCAAGGAAUGGAAGUGGAUCUACUAACAGGUUUAGCAAUUGAAGAAGCUUGUUAUGCUCAGACUAUUCCAACAAAAGACAGAAUUGAAGGUCUUCUUGCUUUUAAAGAGAAAAGACCACCUCGCUACAAAGGAGAGUAAGAAAAACGUAUGUCUUUCAAAAUACAAAUGAAAUAAAGAGACUUCUGGAAGGACUUUUUAGCUUACUUUUUGCCUCAGAAUGUGGACUAAUGCAACCAUGGAAGUAAAUGUAACUACCCAUAGAUUGAUAUUUAUAAUGUAUAUGUACUGAAGGCUUUUCUGUGAAAUUGCAAGGUCAUUGAGUUCUACAGCAUUUUAUUCCACAUCGUUGAAUUGUAUAUCAAUUAAAUAUAUACAUUCCUAAAGAGACUAAACAGUGUAGGUAUUCUGCUGUUGGAACAAAAUAAUUCUGCACAUCAGACACUGUAGAUAGUAUUGAAUAAAUUAAUCAGUAGAUCAGCAAGUACUUUUUAAUUCUAUCUGAAUAUGUAAAUGUAUGAAGUUGUCCAAAUUGAUAAAGGAAUAACAGGGAGUAUAUUUAUAUACUCUGUUGAAACAACUGUACAGCUUGCAUAAUUGUAAAGAGUUAUUCAGCAUAUUAAUUGUACUAUGCUUCCAUCAUAGGAUUUUAAUUAUAAAAUAAACACUGAUCUUAGAUUUUUUUUGUUGGGAUUAUUUGUAUGCAGCAUGAAGAUUAUGAAUUGCGCUAUUAUUGUACCUAAUGGCACAUGAUCUACUUUUACAGCAACAACAAGUAAUUAGCUAAAUCGAAGAAUGAAUGUAAAAUAAAAAAUAGAACCAUAAAUUCUUAUUUAAAAAAUAUAUUACGAAAGCCAAUUUAGGAAUAAAUCAGAUAGUGUUACCCUACAUAAUAAAAGAAAGAACAUUUUGGCUUAUAAACCUGACCAUUUCAGUUAAGAAUGUAUAUGAGUCUUAGUAAUUAAUUCAGAAGUAAUAAUAGGGAGCCCUAGCACCUAAUGUUAUACAUGUCCAGAAAUUGCUCAUAACAUUUGCUGCAGUUGUGUUGUCUAUGAAAACACAGCCCUCCAUUAGAAGGCAAAUAAACUGAACUUGCUGUGAAGAAAGUGACAUUGCCAGCCAUGAGUCCUACACUCCUGAUUGCCACAAAAAAGGAGUUCACUGGUGCUGCAGGAGAAGCAACAUCUGUCUGCUUGGAAUUCUUGCAACAUUAAAAGGAGCUGCACUCUGCUGAGGAGGUAAGAAGCAGCAUUGUUUUUUCUUUUGUUUUAAUUUACAGUUCAGGGAUGCAGACAAAGCUUAUUUACUUUUUUAAAUCAAUACCCUCCUUUUUAAAAAAAAUUAAAGAGAAUGAUGGGAGAAAAAUUUGCUAUUAUAACUAAAUAAAAGUUGCAGUUCAGAAAACAUUACUUUUCUAGGCAGCUGAAAUUAAUAAAAGAUCACAUGACUAUUGCUAGUCCUUGCUUUUAUCAAGGAAAUAAAAGGGACUCAUAAGGACUCUUCUGCUCCUAACUUAAUAAAGACAAGAUUACCAUUCUGUCUUCUGUGCAAGCCCCUUCCAUCUAAAACAUUAGGACACACUUCUUACCUGGAUUCAUUUUUUGCUUUUUAACCUCAUCUGCAGCUUCCAAGCAUUGGUUUAAAAUUGAGAUUCUUUGCCUGCCUGUUUAAUAUAAAAAUAUUGACGAUGCCCAACUUCUUGUGCCUUUUUUUGUCCCAAAGCCCUUUGGCUGUUAACCUAAGAUGGAUGCUAAUCUUUGAAGAGAAACUUAUUCUAUACACUGUAUGAACUAGAAUGAGAUUUCAUUUAUGAAUGCAGCGUAUACCAAAUUUUUCACAUAUUCUGUUAUGUAGCAUUGUCUGUUAUCAUGGCAAAACCAUAUGUAAUUUUGUAUGUUGCCUGUCAAUAAUAAAUAAAAGAAUGGAUCAAAAUGAAAUAAAAACUCAUUAAAUUUAACAUUCCACUUUUUGAUUAAAAUGCUUCAGUGGACUUAUCACUAUGCUAGCUGACUGACCAUUUUAUCCAUUAUAACUUUAGAAGGAAAAAAAGUCUCCAAAAAUAUUAAAAUGCUAUUUUCAUUGUGUAAGAUGGAAUCUUUAAUAAAGUCAUGACUUCUGUUAAGUAUA